GGGGACGAUAUGGAUUCGACGCCGGUUACAAAACCAAAUGUGCAUGCCGAGUAGUUCUACAGUGCUCGUAAACCCAACUGUGGACUCGUUAGCUAUAACUGCCAACGACGAAAACUACGCUCU
rnacentral:tmRNA from 2 species